GGUUAAGCGACUAAGCGUACACGGUGGAUGCCUAGGCAAUCAGAGGCGAUGAAGGACGUGCUAAUCUGCGAUAAGCGUCGGUAAGGUGAUAUGAACCGUUACAACCGACGAUUUCCGAAUGGGGAAACCCAGUGCAAUUCGUUGCACUAUCGUUUGAUGAAUACAUAGUCAAACGAAGCGAACCGGGGGAACUGAAACAUCUCAGUACCCCGAGGAAAAGAAAUCAACCGAGAUUCCCCUAGUAGCGGCGAGCGAACGGGGAGCAGCCCAGAGUCUUAAUCAGCAUUAGCAUCAGGAGAACGGUCUGGAAAGUCCGGCAGUAAAGGGUGAUAGCCCCGUAUCCGAAGGUGUUAGUGUUGUGAACUCGACGAGUAGGGCGGGACACGUGUUAUCCUGUCUGAAUAUGGGGGGACCAUCCUCCAAGGCUAAAUACUCCUGAUUGACCGAUAGUGAACCAGUACCGUGAGGGAAAGGCGAAAAGAACCCCGGCGAGGGGAGUGAAAUAGAACCUGAAACCGUGUACGUACAAGCAGUGGGAGCCUUGAUUUAUCAGGGUGACUGCGUACCUUUUGUAUAAUGGGUCAGCGACUUAUAUUCUGUAGCAAGGUUAACCGAAUAGGGGAGCCGUAGGGAAACCGAGUCUUAACUGGGCGAAUGAGUUGCAGGGUAUAGACCCGAAACCCGGUGAUCUAGCCAUGGGCAGGUUGAAGGUUGGGUAACACUAACUGGAGGACCGAACCGACUAAUGUUGAAAAAUUAGCGGAUGACUUGUGGCUGGGGGUGAAAGGCCAAUCAAACCGGGAGAUAGCUGGUUCUCCCCGAAAGCUAUUUAGGUAGCGCCUCGUGAACUCAUCUUCGGGGGUAGAGCACUGUUUCGACUAGGGGGUCAUCCCGACUUACCAACUCGAUGCAAACUACGAAUACCGAAGAAUGUUAUCACGGGAGACACACGGCGGGUGCUAACGUUCGUCGUGAAGAGGGAAACAACCCAGACCGCCAGCUAAGGUCCCAAAGUCAUAGUUAAGUGGGAAACGAAGUGGGAAGGCUCAGACAGCCAGGAUGUUGGCUUAGAAGCAGCCAUCAUUUAAAGAAAGCGUAAUAGCUCACUGGUCGAGUCGGCCUGCGCGGAAGAUGUAACGGGGCUAAACUAUGCACCGAAGCUGCGGCAGCGAACGUAUCACUUAAACUGAUUAAGUGAUACUCAAAUGUAUUAAAACGAUUGACGGAGCGAAGCGACGUCAAUGCGUCCAACAAAGUCGAGGCGGAAACGUCAGGCAGUCAGUUUAAGGAUACGUUCGUUGGGUAGGGGAGCGUUCUGUAAGCCUGUGAAGGUGUGCUGUGAGGCAUGCUGGAGGUAUCAGAAGUGCGAAUGCUGACAUAAGUAACGAUAAUGCGGGUGAAAACCCGCACGCCGGAAGACCAAGGGUUCCUGUCCAACGUUAAUCGGGGCAGGGUGAGUCGACCCCUAAGGCGAGGCAGAAAUGCGUAGUCGAUGGGAAACGGGUUAAUAUUCCCGUACUGGUGAUAAUUGCGAUGGGGGGGGACGGAGAAGGCUAGGCUAUCCGGGCGACGGUUGUCCCGGUUUAAGGAUGUAGGCAGGUGAAUUAGGCAAAUCCGGUUCACUAUAUGCUGAGGUCCGACGACGAGUCACUACGGUGAUGAAGUAGCUCAUGCCCCGCUUCCAGGAAAAGCCUCUAAGCUCUAGAUUAUCAUUAAUCGUACCCCAAACCGACACAGGUGGUCAGGUAGAGAAUACUCAGGCGCUUGAGAGAACUCGGGUGAAGGAACUAGGCAAAAUGGUGCCGUAACUUCGGGAGAAGGCACGCUGGCAUUAGGUGAAGUGGUUUACCCAUGGAGCUGAAGCCAGUCGCAGAUACCAGCUGGCUGCAACUGUUUAUUAAAAACACAGCACUGUGCAAACACGAAAGUGGACGUAUACGGUGUGACGCCUGCCCGGUGCUGGAAGGUUAAUUGAUGGGGUUAUCCGUAAGGAGAAGCUCUUGAUCGAAGCCCCAGUAAACGGCGGCCGUAACUAUAACGGUCCUAAGGUAGCGAAAUUCCUUGUCGGGUAAGUUCCGACCUGCACGAAUGGCGUAAUGAUGGCCAGGCUGUCUCCACCCGAGACUCAGUGAAAUUGAACUCGCUGUGAAGAUGCAGUGUACCCGCGGCAAGACGGAAAGACCCCGUGAACCUUUACUAUAGCUUGACACUGAACAUUGAGCCUUGAUGUGUAGGAUAGGUGGGAGGCUUUGAAGUGUGGACGCCAGUCUGCAUGGAGCCAACCUUGAAAUACCACCCUUUAAUGUUUGAUGUUCUAACGUUGCCCCGUUAUCCGGGGUGCGGACAGUGUCUGGUGGGUAGUUUGACUGGGGCGGUCUCCUCCCAAAGAGUAACGGAGGAGCACGAAGGUUGGCUAAGCAUGGUCGGACAUCAUGCGGUUAGUGCAAAGGCAUAAGCCAGCUUGACUGCGAGAGUGACGGCUCGAGCAGGUACGAAAGUAGGUCUUAGUGAUCCGGUGGUUCUGAAUGGAAGGGCCAUCGCUCAACGGAUAAAAGGUACUCCGGGGAUAACAGGCUGAUACCGCCCAAGAGUUCAUAUCGACGGCGGUGUUUGGCACCUCGAUGUCGGCUCAUCACAUCCUGGGGCUGAAGUAGGUCCCAAGGGUACGGCUGUUCGCCGUUUAAAGUGGUACGCGAGCUGGGUUUAGAACGUCGUGAGACAGUUCGGUCCCUAUCUGCCGUGGGCGUUGGAAGAUUGAAAGGGGCUGCUCCUAGUACGAGAGGACCGGAGUGGACGCACCACUGGUGUUCGGGUUGUCAUGCCAAUGGCAUUGCCCGGUAGCUAAGUGCGGAAGAGAUAACCGCUGAAAGCAUCUAAGCGGGAAACUUGCCUUGAGAUGAGUCUUCCCUGACCCUUUAAGGGUCCUAAAGGAACGUUUAAGACUAAGACGUUGAUAGGUUGGGUGUGUAAGCGUAGCGAUACGUUGAGCUAACCAAUACUAAUGAACCGUGAGGCUUAACCUG
rnacentral:rRNA from 1 species